UAGAAACACCGGUUCUCGUAUAAUCACCGAAGUUAAGCAACGCAGAGCCUGGUCAGUACUUAGACAGGUGACCGUUUGGGAAAACCAGGUGCU